GACCCGGUGGUGAAAUGAAUCACGUCCGCCGUAAAUAGUAUGGAAUUCGAUUCCGACGUGUCGGCAGAAGACACCCGUUCAAUUCGGGUCCGGGUCC